CGCUGAUGAUGUAGCAAGAUUUUGAGAUACUGGGCACCAAUUACAUAGUGGAAGGCUUAAUUGCUCGUGUUUGUAACAGUGGUAUAUAUAUUCCAGUGGUUAACAUCAAUCAUGUCCGACAUAUACCUUACGCCCACCAUAUUCUAUAUCUAUACCAAUAUAAAAAGACCUAAAAGGGCAGAUCCAACAUAUCUCAACCAUCCGAUCAUGUUAAUCCAACAACCCUUAUUGUCCUGAUGUUUAGCGACUAAACAUGUUUAGCACUAAUCAAUCCCGAUGAUCCCCUUCCCUAUGCGUACCUUUCGCACGAAAGGAACCACCCCCGCCGCAUCGCAUCGCCCCAAUCGCGUCGCCACGCCCGCCCCCAACCAUCGCGACCUGACCCGCCGCUCCUUCGCCGCCCAGUCGCUCCUUUGGCGUCCAGCCGCUCCACGCCGCGCCACCAUCGCCUCCUAAACCGGCCGUUGGGGACGCCGUCGUUGGAGCAGUGACGGCGCGCGGCUGCCGCCUUUCCGCCGCCACAGCCUUCCCGCCUGCUGGACGGUAGUGACGCCGUCGCCGCCGCCUGGGGGCCCGGCCAUCCGGGACGCCGCCGCCGCCUUCGAGCGUCUGCCAUCGGUUCGUCGGUUCAGACCUCCCCGCAGCCGCAACCAACAGAUGGAACGUACUCAUUUCGAUGCUUCCCUGUCGUUGUCAGAGAAUCAGGAUCGUUCCGACGUUACGAACAAUUCCACUUUAGAGAAUCUCCACGCUAAAAAACUGUAGGGCGGCAACGGAUAGUAUGCCCGGAUGUCUGAUGACAAGAAGGCGGAAUACCUCUAGAAACGGCGUCAGGCAUGGGCUGAAAAAAGGCUGCAAGUCUUGCUAAUGCCAACUGUCAGCAAGUAUGUCAACAACAUUUUUCAUCAUGUUUGUCUCUACAACGUUAUGAUGCAUGUUCAACAUGUAUAUGACAUGCAAGCUCGAGAAAGAUUUGUGCCCCCAAGUUAUGUAUCUGGACCCUCGAGUGAGAUGAUAGAUGAACCUUCUGAGAGGAAACGAUGACAUAUGCGGGAACAAUAUGCAAACAUGCCAAAGCAUGACAAAGAAGUUGUCUUGUGUAGGAAUCAUGCAUAUAAGAUAGGACGACGGCAUACCACCCCAUUAUCCGAACAAUCUUACAUUGCCGAUGUCGCGGGUGGGUCCAAAUCGCACUCAACAAGUACACCUUCCAUACCGACACAACCAUAUGGAUAUAGCUUCACUGGUAUUUUUCAGUCCCCGUUGUUGUCCAUUUACUAGCACUUUAGGUAUGAAAGAACAUGUUGUGCCCCCAUGUUUGGUUUUGGUAAUUGAUGACAAUCUCUAUGGACUAAUGGUUUCCUUGAGUUAUAUUUGAAGGUUUUGUCCAUAGGCUUUUUUUGGAGUACAUGUGUUGGUUUCAAGAAGAGUUUGUGUCGAUCAAGGUGAUAUUCAAGGAAUUACCUAAAGAUUGGUCUUGUGAGAGGCUGAUCAAGACUAAGUCAAAGAGUGAAUCAAGUUGAUCAACCCACAAAGCGUAGAAGAUGUACCGAGAGG